rnacentral:lncRNA from 1 species
UCCGGCGUUGCCGUGAGCUGUGGUGUAGGUCGCAGACGUGGCUCGGAUCUGACAUUGCUGUGGCUGAGGUAUAGGCCGACAGCUACAGCUCUGAUUUGACCUCUGGCGUGGGAAUUUCCAUACGCUGAUGGUGUGGCCCUAAAAAGACCAAAAAAAAAAAAAAAAAAAUUUGUUCUUGAAUGUGUUUACCUCUCACUUGUGGUUACGUUGAAUGAAACAAUAGCUACAAACACAGUGGUGCCCUGGAGUUCCCCAGCCACUGUAGCCAACCCAGACUGGAGUUGGGAGGAUGGCUUCUUUGGUCGCUUUCCCGUCAGGUGGUCCUACUUGUAGCUAAAAAGUAGCCUGAUUGAAUGAUUUGGCCAGGAGGCCCCUCCUCGCUAAACCAGUUACAAAGCUCAGCUUUAAGGGCUGAGGAAAGGGCAGCUUUUCCCAGCUGGAGACUUUCUCUUAGGGGUGAUUCUUCUGUGCACUCCUUACCUGUCCCGAGGCAGGCAAGCCAGGCUGGGAUUUCAAGGCAUUAACAAGCGGGAUCUGAGCAGCGAAGGGACACUCUCCGAAGGCGUCCGUUUCCAGCUGUGAGUAAUUCAGGACCCGCCAGGGCAGCGUGUACCUGGGGCAGGAGGCUUUGGCAUCUGCCGAGGAGCACGUCCUGUCCUCCUUGAGGCCCCACAUUAAUGCUCCUGAAGGCAGAGCAGGAAAACAGAUCUAUUUUCUGGGCCAGCUUAAAACAAAAUGACUAAAAGAUGAAGCUUCCGUUCUGGGCAAACAACCACACUCGUAUUUAGAAAAUUGGUCCAAAUGUUCGAGGCGCUGAGCAUCUGCAGCUGAGACUCGCUUACCUGGGCCCCUCACAGUGAGAAAAAAACAGUGACAUGGUGCAAAGAGAAAAGGAAAAUAGUAAUUGCAAGAGUCCCUGCUUCCAUCAUCUCGUAAAUCCAGGUGAAUGUUAAGUAUGGUUGGGAGCAGGUAUGGGAGUGAUUUACUCUGAGAACCUCACUUUAGCAUUUGUGUGUUGUUAAGUUAUUUCCAUAUUGAUAAGGCUGCGGGCAGGAACUGGGAUUCCAAGCAUUCCUCCUGGCCUUAUUUCCAGCAUGUUGGCUAUUGACUCAAACCUGGGGUGCGGUGACUGAUUUUAGCACCAGGAUCUUGGAGGGACACUUGCCUUGUUCUUAACCCAAAUACCACCCAAACUCCAAAGCCUAGGAAAGCUUCUGCCAUGGCAGACUCCCCCCACCCAUACUGCAUUCCUACACUUUGGAGAACUGGCUGUCCUGCUGACCGGGAGAGGCUGACAAGCUGAUUGGAUUGGAGAAGGGCUCAGACCCUUUCCGGGCACAGUGUCACCUGUGGGCUCCUCACUGGUGCUCUGCGAUCACCCUCGCAUCUCAGGUGGGAUGGGAUGUGGGCUGCAGACUUCUCCAGAACACCGUCUGGUUUCGCUUUGUUCUUUGCCUCCUGGGAUAUUAAAGGCUAUUUUUAGCCUGUUUGAACCUGUGCCUCUUCUACAUGAUGGGGCCAGUUUCUCAUUUUGGACUCGAGAGUGAAAUGGAAUGGCCAAAGGGCUUUAUGGUCAGCAUCCCCUCUGAGCACAUAUUUCCCAAUAAAACUCAGCAGUGUUGGCAGCAUCAGAUUGUUGUGUAUGUAGAUGAUAUUUUGACUUUUGACCUGAAGGUGAAUGUGAGCUGUUUUAUUGGACAGUGUUGCAGCUAGAAGGACGGAUUGUCCCACCUGCAACUCUCCCUUAUUGUCUGAUACCAUGGGGGCGGCCCCAGUCUUUGUGAAGUGGGGCAAACCCCACAUUGGGGGUUUCAUGUGGGUGCAGCCGCAGGCAUCCCUGGGAUCUGAGUUGUGGGCUGAGUGCACCAUCUGUUACCGGAAAACUUUGAAAGUUGAUCACAGUGCUGACUGAAUCCUGCCUGAGUCGGGGCCGGGCGCCACCUUUCUCUGUGGCUUUGUGGUUGGGUGGGGGCUUAUUUGGGCUCUGUCAGCAGUCCUGUCCCCAAAGAAGAAAAGCGUUCCUGUUGUGUGUGCUAGUCGGGUUGAUUGACUGCAGAUGAUGCCUUGCCAGGCAUUUGAAUCACAGCCGCUCUCAAAGAUGUCUUCCCCUUCCUGCCUUCACCCCGUGCGAUUAGUUAUGCGCCGAGAGCUUGGAAACCUGGAGGAUUUGUGAACGUGAGGCUAUUGCUGGAUUCUUUGGCACAGUUGGUCCAGGCAUCCCUGUCUUUUCCGGGGCGAGCCCGGAACCCGCAGUGUUCUCAAAUGUAGAAGGGGCGUGAGCCCCACUUUCCAGCCCCAUUGGGUUGGUCCCCACAUGGCCAGAAGGGAACAAGAUGGCCCAGUGUUCUGGCGGCCCCUUUUGUGGUGAGUUGUGUCAAAGUAUGACGUGCACUGUCAGGUGUCUGUGCCAUGGGCCUCCUGAAAGUGGCCUUCCCGCACUUCCUAGGCUAAUCACAACAGCCCUGGCGUGGAUCGAGAAGUAGCACAGAGCGUUGUCUGAAUUCAGAAUGAGAGCAAGAAAUCCAGACUGCAUCCCAUCUCUCCCUAAAAGCCAUGCGUGACUUUUCAUCUUCUCACUGGUAACUACCGUAGAGUUAUAAACAUACACAUGUUUGAUCAAUUACACUGAGAUCCAGAGCAUAGAUAGUAAAGCUAAGUCCUAGGUAGAUAGCAUCAGAUUCACGUAUCACUGCGGUAUCCCACCUGGAAUGUUCUUUCUGAUGGUGACCGAAAGAAAUGUCCUUAAAGGGUCCUGGGAACAGAAACCCAAGUGCAGUUUUACAGAGACAGUGAGACAGCGGUGACCUCACUGCCUGCAAAAGCGUCUCUCCCCUGCCCAGCAGCAGGAGAGGAAUAGCUCCUUGUUCCAGGUCUCUGCUAGAUGUUUCCCUUUAUUUGCAUCAGAGUCAUGCACACGGCCAUGAGUACAGGUUUUAGGCAAAGCGGCCAUCAGGCUUUGUGAAUAAUUCCUCGCCUUCCUGACCUUUGCUAGCACUGCCUACAGUGUCCCCUUCACCACCAGCUUGACAGACAUUUGAUGUUCAAGUAUAGCUACCUGCUGCCCUCCGGUAGCGAAGGGGACACGCCCCAUGUGCCCAGCAGCUGGGUGUGAACCUAGGGGUGAUUUUCCAUUAGCGGUGAUGGAUUCACCCAGAUCCAAACACACACCCCCUCCCAUGGACCCCCUUGUGACCAGAAGCACAUAUUGCCCGACAGCUGGCCAGGCCCAGGGAUGCAGCCGGUGAUCGCAAGAGAGGAGCUGCUUUGAGCUCCUUCCUGCCAUUCUUCUGAUGGAGUCUAACACUCAGACUACAGCUACCCGUGCUGCUACCCCUGAUACAAAGGACUGGUGUAGUUUACAGAAAAAAUAGCAUGGAUGGAAUAGACCAAGCACUGUUUCCUCUUCAGAGAGUUUGCAUUUUAUCCUUCCCAACAUCUUCUGCCUCUUGACAGACUCUCACAAUGCCGCAGCAAACUUGCCUCGAUUGGGUAGCAGUGGUUUGCUGCCUUUAAAGAACCCGAAAUCGCACAUUUCUGUCUCAAACUGCAAGUGGACAUGUAGAGAAAAGCCCGAGAUGCUCCCAUAGAGCAGGGGACAUCCUCCGUGCCUCUGAUCAUUGCAUACGGGUACAGGUGGGCGUUAGAAGGGAGACUCUGCAUGGGGCUGCGUGUGUAUGUCAGGAAUGGCUAGAAAGGAAGUUAGCCACUAAAAGACUUUCCUUUGAUGCUUCAUGGGACUUGUUCAGCUCAUCCUCCUGGAUGUACUGGCUUUUAAUCAAAGAGUAAACACAACUCCAGCAGAGCCGUGCUCUCUGAGCAUGAAAUGGUUGGCUCGGCGUCCUGUUAUGGCUCCCUGCACUCACCCUCCUUCACCCAGUUCCUCCUCUGCUUUUAGAAGUCCCGCCCCAACUUCCUCAUCCCCCGCCCAGGGUGUUGGUGAAGCCCCUUUCAUGUGUGCCGCUGAGACCAUUGGACAUAGCCAGUCGGAGAAUGAAGUCUGGACUAAAAUGACUAAUACUUGCAUUCAUCUUGCCUUUCCAUGGAAAAGAAGAAAGGCCAAUGCUGAUUCUUAAAGUGGUCCCCCUUUUCCACACCCCCCUGGCAGAGGUAACCUGCUCUUUGUGCCAGAUGCCUUGCCCAACAGCUGUUUGGUGAUUCUGUGUCACUGGGCUCGCUGUAAAAUCAGGCAUAUCCUUUUAAUGACCUGUUCAUAUUUCAGCAGUGCCGAGCUCCAUGGCACAGAGAGAGGGGAUAAACCUUCAUUGUAAUGGAUUUUUAGUAAGACUAUCGCGGAGAUAAGAGUCCUAAAUCUUGGCAGUCUCUUUAGAGCACACACUCUGUGAUUACACACAAAUACUUGGCUCCCCAGAGCCGCGUUGUAAGUAGAAUGCCCUGCGCAGGGCUGGGUAAUAAGAUACUGCAGAUACAUUUGAGAGCAAGGUACACUCUUGCUUUAUUUAUGAAGAUAGACAUGCUGGUUGAGGGCUUAAUCACAGCUGAUAAAUCAUUUUAAGAAAGCCUAUUAGAACCAUAUGCUGAUUUUUUUUUUUUUUGCAUUAAUAUAGUGUGUCUGUUUCCAGUCUAAUAAGACAGGGCUUUCUCUCAUGCUCUCUGUGUCUCUCCAGUAUGGACUAUUUAUCUGUUUAAGUGGUAUCACUUGUGUGGGAGCAUUUAUCUCUCUAAGAGGUACCAUUAAUAAAAGAAGGUGAAAGGAAAGGGGGAAGGAAAAAAAGAAAUGAAGGCACCCAUUGCAAAAUGCCUCUCUCUCUCUCUCUCUCUCUCUCUCUCUCUCUCUCUGGGUGUGUGUGUGUGUGUGUGUGUGUUUAUGGCAUUACAAUGGAAAGAGUCAAAAAGCUGAGAACAGGAAACAUCUCAAUUAGACUUUCGGAAGACCGUGGAUUGGUCUUCCCUCGGCAUAAGGUAGUCAUUUCAGGCCAGGUGGUUAUAAUACUAUAGUAAAAGAUUAUCUGAAUAUGGGGGGGGGGUGCACUGACAUUUUGGUUACCUCACUUCUCCCCAAGCUAGCAGAGGUCUGCCCCAGGAACAGGUCCCAAGGCUCUUUAAUGAGAGCCAUAUUGGGGCUUCAACUCGGAGCCAAGUUCUGUUUAUCACUAAUUGCAGGGGUGCCUUGCAGAUCUUUUCUAUUAUUUCCUGAUUAUACCCCUGCUCUUUUUAUUAUCUUGCCAAAAUUCAAACAGUAAUAAUUGCAUGAUUUAUUGUUUAUUUGUAACCCCUUCUACUGUGUCAAUCACUGUAUUUAAUAGCUUUUUAAAACAGCAAUAGCCUUUCCCAAAUGACUGGAUUUCUUUUACCUUCCACAGAGAAGUCAUGCAUUUGUGACUCUCCUUUGGCAUUCUUCAGAGCACGCCCAUGGUCCUCCCUCUCCAGAAUCCUGUCUUUCUGACCAUAUAAAUAAGGGCUGGUUUGGGGACACAGAGAGAGCUUGAGUGCCAGGAAGAUGUUUCAGGAAAGGACAUUCAUUUAUCCUUUAGGAUGACAUCCAUGUUGGGUUAUAUGGCUCCUAAAUUUCUUUCCAACUCACAGUCUCCAUGAUUCUCUGGAAACUGAGUUUGGAAUAUCUGAAGAGCCCAUUUUAUACAAAUUUAGACCAAACUGCGAGACACUGAGAUUGUGAACUAGUAAGAAUAAAAUUCACUCCCUUCCAUUUAUAGGUUUCUACUCUACUAUCUGUCAGGCAUGAUGCUAGAAGUUUUGUUUACAUUAUUCCCUCAUCAUUGUAAUGAUCUUAUGAGGUAAAUGUUCUUACCUUCAUUUAACAUAAUAAGUUAAAGCUUAAGAGUCUUAAGAGUUUAAAUAAUUUGCUGAAGGCCACAAAGCUAGGAAGUUACAGAUUCAGUAUUGGUACAUAGGACUAUCAGCUGGAAAAUUCAUAUGCCUCCCACAACUUCAGACUGUCUCUUCCCAUCUUUUUUUCCUUAUGAUACAUGUAUAUUUUAACAUACAUGGUAAUU